rnacentral:rRNA from 1 species
AGUGAACGCUGGCGGUAGGCCUAACACAUGCAAGUCGAACGGCAGCACAGUAAGAGCUUGCUCUUACGGGUGGCGAGUGGCGGACGGGUGAGGAAUACAUCGGAAUCUACUUUUUCGUGGGGGCUAACGUAGGGAAACUUACGCUAAUACCGCAUACGACCUCCGGGUGAAAGCUGGGGAUCUUCGGACCUUGCGCGAUUGAAUGAGCCGAUGUCGGAUUAGCUAGUUGGCGGGGUAAAGGCCCACCAAGGCGACGAUCCGUAGCUGGUCUGAGAGGAUGAUCAGCCACACUGGAACUGAGACACGGUCCAGACUCCUACGGGAGGCAGCAGUGGGGAAUAUUGGACAAUGGGCGCAAGCCUGAUCCAGCCAUACCGCGUGGGUGAAGAAGGCCUUCGGGUUGUAAAGCCCUUUUGUUGGGAAAGAAAAGCAGCAGGUUAAUACCCCGCUGUUCUGACGGUACCCAAAGAAUAAGCACCGGCUAACUUCGUG